rnacentral:rRNA from 1 species
AACGAACGCUGGCGGCGUGCCUAAUACAUGCAAGUCGAACGAGAAAGUGCCUUCGGGCAUUAGUAAAGUGGCAAACGGGUGAGUAAUACAUAGGUAACCUACCUCUAAGAUGGGGAUAACCUUCCGAAAGGAGGGCUAAUACCGAAUGAGACCACAGUGACUAUGGUCACAGGGGUUAAAGAUGGCCUCUACUUGUAAGCUAUUACUUAGAGAUGGGCUUAUGUACCAUUAGCCAGUUGGUGAGGUAACGGCUCACCAAAGCUAUGAUGGUUAGAUGAUCUGAGAGGUUGAUCAGCCACACUGGAACUGAGACACGGUCCAGACUCCUACGGGAGGCAGCAGUAGGGAAUAUUGCGCAAUGGAGGAAACUCUGACGCAGCGACGCCGCGUGGGUGAUGAAGGCCUUCGGGUCGUAAAGCCCUGUCGGAAGAGAAGAAAAACGAAAUGGCUAAUAUCUAUUUCGCUUGACGGUACCUUCAAAGGAAGCACCGGCUAACUACGUGCCAGCAGCCGCCGUAAAAC